UAUACGACCGUACCGCAAACCGACACUGGUGCGCGAGAUGAGUAUUCUAAGGCGCUUGAGAGAACUCAGGAGAAGGAACUCGGCAAAUUGACACCGUAACUUCGGAAGAAGGUGUGCCCUAUUAGUGUGUAGUGAACAACGAAGCAUGAAUGGGUUGCAAAAAAUCGGUGGCUGCGACUGUUUAUUAAAAACACAGCACUCUGCAAACACGAAAGUGGACGUAUAGGGUGUGACGCCUGCCCGGUGCUGGAAGAUUAAGUGAUGGGGUGCAAGCUCUUGAUUGAAGUCCCAGUAAACGGCGGCCGUAACUAUAACGGUCCUAAGGUAGCGAAAUUCCUUGUCGGGUAAGUUCCGACCUGCACGAAUGGCGUAACGAUGGCCACACUGUCUCCUCCUGAGACUCAGCGAAGUUGAAAUGUUUGUGAUGAUGCAAUCUCCCCGCGGAAAGACGGAAAGACCCCAUGAACCUUUACUGUAGCUUUGUAUUGGACUUUGAACAGAUCUGUGUAGGAUAGGUGGGAGGCUUUGAAGCAGGGUCGCUAGAUCUUGUGGAGCCAACGUUGAAAUACCACCCUGGUGUGUUUGAGGUUCUAACCUAGGUCCAUUAUCUGGAUCGGGGACAGUGCAUGGUAGGCAGUUUGACUGGGGCGGUCUCCUCCCAAAGCGUAACGGAGGAGUUCGAAGGUACGCUAGUUACGGUCGGACAUCGUGACGAUAGUGCAAUGGCAUAAGCGUGCUUAACUGCGAGACUGACAAGUCGAGCAGAUGCGAAAGCAGGACAUAGUGAUCCGGUGGUUCUGUAUGCAAGGGCCAUCGCUCAACGGAUAAAAGGUACUCUGGGGAUAACAGGCUGAUACCGCCCAAGAGUUCGUAUCGACGGCGGUGUUUGGCACCUCGAUGUCGGCUCAUCUCAUCCUGGGGCUGUAGCCGGUCCCAAGGGUAUGGCUGUUCGCCAUUUAAAGAGGUACGUGAGCUGGGUUUAAAACGUCGUGAGACAGUUUGGACCCUAUCUUCCGUGGGCGCUGCAGAUUUGAGGAAGCCUGCUCCUAGUACGAGAGGACCGGAGUGGACGAACCUCUGGUGUAUCGGUUGUCACGCCAGUGGCAUUGCCGAGUAGCUAAGUUCGGAAGAGAUAACCGCUGAAAGCAUCUAAGCGGGAAACUCGUUUCAAGAUUAGAUCUGCCGGGGCCUUGAGCCCCCUAAAGAGUCGUUCAAGACCAGGACGUUGAUAGGUCAGGUGUGGAAGCCA
rnacentral:rRNA from 1 species